UACAGAGGUCUCAAGCGUUGUUCGUAUUCAUUGGGCGUAAAGGGUGCGUAGGCGGCGCGGUAAGUCGGGUGUGAAAUCUCGGAGCUUAACUCCGAAACUGCAUUCGAUACUGCCGUGCUUGAGGACUGGAGAGGAGACUGGAAUUUACGGUGUAGCGGUGAAAUGCGUAGAUAUCGUAAGGAAGACCAGUGGCGAAGGCGGGUCUCUGGACAGUUCCUGACGCUGAGGCACGAAGGUCAGGGGAGCAAACGGG
rnacentral:rRNA from 1 species